rnacentral:rRNA from 1 species
GACGAACCGUCCAAACGUUAUUCGGAAUUACUGGGCUUAAAGGGUGCGUAGGCGGCGCAGAAAGUAGGGUGUGAAAUCCCUCGGCUCAACCGAGGAACUGCGCCCUAAACUACUGUGCUUGAGGAAGAUAGAGGUGAGCGGAACUUAGGGUGGAGCGGUGAAAUGCGUUGAUAUCCUAAGGAACACCGGUGGCGAAGGCGGCUCACUGGAUCUUUUCUGACGCUGAGGCACGAAAGCUAGGGGAGCGAACGGGAUUAGAUACCCCUGUAGUCC